GAUGAACGCUCGCGGGAGGCCUAACACAUGCAAGCCGAGCGGUAGAGUUUCUUCGGAAACUUGAGAGCGGCGCACGGGUGCGUAACACGUGUGCAACCUACCUUUAUCUGGGGGAUAGCCUUUCGAAAGGAAGAUUAAUACCCCAUAAUAUAAUGAUUGGCAUCAAUUAUUAUUGAAAACUCCGGUGGAUAGAGAUGGGCACGCGCAAGAUUAGAUAGUUGGUGAGGUAACGGCUCACCAAGUCAAUGAUCUUUAGGGGUCCUGAGAGGGAGAUCCCCCACACUGGUACUGAGACACGGACCAGACUCCUACGGGAGGCAGCAGUGGGGAAUAUUGGACAAUGGGUGAGAGCCUGAUCCAGCCAUCCCGCGUGAAGGAUGACGGUCCUAUGGAUUGUAAACUUCUUUUGUACAGGGAUAAACCUACCCUCGUGAGGGUAGCUGAAGGUACUGUACGAAUAAGCACCGGCUAACUCCGUG
rnacentral:rRNA from 1 species